GGACUAAUGAAAGUUUUUAGAAAAUUGGGCAGACUAGAUGGGCGGAAUGGUUCUUAUCUGCCGUCACAUUCUAUGUUUCUAUGUGUGUGUGUGUGUGUUAGUGUAUGUAUGUGUGUGUUUGUGUGUGUUAGUGUAUGUGUUUGUGUGUUAGUGUAUGUGUGUGUUAGUGUAUGUAUGUGUGUGUUUAUGUGUGUUAGUGUGUGUUUGUGUGUUAGUGUAUGUGUGCUAGUGUGUGUGUUUGUGUAUGUGUGUUAGUGUGUGUGUGUGUUAGUGUGUGUGUGUUAGUGUGUGUGUUAGUGUAUGUGUGUGUUAGUGUAUAUGUGUCAGCAUGUCUGUGUGUGUGUCAGUAUGUCUGUGUGUGUGUGUCAGUAUGUCUGUGUGUCAGUAUAUAUGUGUGUGUAUAUCUGUGUGUGUCAGUAUGUGUAUGUGUCAGUAUGUCUGUCAGUGCGUCAGUAUGUCUGUUAGUACAUGUGUAUGCAUGUGUCAGUAUAUCUGUCUGUGUGCCAGUAUGUCUGUGUGUGUGUGUCAGUAUGUCUGUCUGUGUGUCAGUAUAUAUGUGUGUGUAUAUCUGUGUGUGUCAGUAUGUGUAUGUGUCAGUAUGUUUGUCAGUGCGUCAGUAUGUCUGUUAGUGCAUGUGUAUGCAUGUGUCAGUAUAUCUGUCUGUGUGCCAGUAUGUCUGUGUGUGUGUGUGUCAGUAUAUCAGUCUGUGUGUGUCAGUGUAUGUGCCUGUGUGUGUGUCAGUAUUUCUCAGUGUAUGUGG